AGCAUGUUAGCUCAGGGGAAGAGCGCCGGGCUCAUAACCCGGAGGUAUGUCUUACUAUGCAACUCCUUGAAACUUCAUAACUAACAGUUACCAGGUCCCUGGAUCGAAACCAGGACAUGCUA